rnacentral:rRNA from 1 species
AAAUUGACACCGUAACUUCGGAAGAAGGUGUGCCUUUAGUAGGUGAACCUGUACAAGGGGAGCCCAAUGAGGUUGCAAAAAAUCGGUGGCUGCGACUGUUUAAUAAAAACACAGCACUCUGCAAACACGAAAGUGGACGUAUCUGGUGUGACGCCUGCCCGGUGCUGGAAGAUUAAAUGAUGGGGUGCAAGCUCUUGAUUGAAGUCCCAGUAAACGGCGGCCGUAACAAUAACGGUCCUAAGGUAGCGAAAUUCCUUGUCGGGUAAGUUCCGACCUGCACGAAUGGCGUAACGAUGGCCACACUGUCUCCUCCUGAGACUCAGCGAAGUUGAAAUGUUUGUGAUGAUGCAAUCUCCCCGCGGAAAGACGGAAAGACCCCAUGAACCUUUACUGUAGCUUUGUAUUGGACUUUGAACAGAUCUGUGUAGGAUAGGUGGGAGGCUUUGAAGUGUGGUCGCUAGAUCGCAUGGAGCCAACGUUGAAAUACCACCCUGGUGUGUUUGAGGUUCUAACCUAGGCCCGUAAUCCGGGUCGGGGACAGUGCAUGGUAGGCAGUUUGACUGGGGCGGUCUCCUCCCUAAGCGUAACGGAGGAGUUCGAAGGUACGCUAGGUACGGUCGGACAUCGUGCUAAUAGUGCAAUGGCAUAAGCGUGCUUAACUGCGAGACUGACAAGUCGAGCAGAUGCGAAAGCAGGACAUAGUGAUCCGGUGGUUCUGUAUGGAAGGGCCAUCGCUCAACGGAUAAAAGGUACUCUGGGGAUAACAGGCUGAUACCGCCCAAGAGUUCAUAUCGACGGCGGUGUUUGGCACCUCGAUGUCGGCUCAUCUCAUCCUGGGGCUGUAGCCGGUCCCAAGGGUAUGGCUGUUCGCCAUUUAAAGAGGUACGUGAGCUGGGUUUAAAACGUCGUGAGACAGUUUGGUCCCUAUCUUCCGUGGGCGCUGCAGAUUUGAGGAAGCCUGCUCCUAGUACGAGAGGACCGGAGUGGACACACCUCUGGUGUAUCGGUUGUCACGCCAGUGGCAUUGCCGAGUAGCUAUGUGUGGAAGAGAUAACCGCUGAAAGCAUCUAAGCGGGAAACUCGUUUCAAGAUGAGAUCUGCCGGGGCCUUGAGCCCCCUAAAGAGUCGUUCAAGACCAGGACGUUGAUAGGUCGGGUGUGGAAGCGCAGUAAUGCGUUAAGCUAACCGAUACUAAUUGCUCGUGCGGCUUGACC